AGUGAACGCUGGCGGUAGGCCUAACACAUGCAAGUCGAACGGCAGCACAGUAAGAGCUUGCUCUUACGGGUGGCGAGUGGCGGACGGGUGAGGAAUACAUCGGAAUCUACUUUUUCGUGGGGGAUAACGUAGGGAAACUUACGCUAAUACCGCAUACGACCUACGGGUGAAAGCAGGGGAUCUUCGGACCUUGCGCGAUUGAAUGGGCCGAUGUCGGAUUAGCUAGUUGGCGGGGUAAAGGCCCACCAAGGCGACGAUCCGUAGCUGGUCUGAGAGGACGAUCAGCCACACUGGAACUGAGACACGGUCCAGACUCCUACGGGAGGCAGCAGUGGGGAAUAUUGGACAAUGGGCGCAAGCCUGAUCCAGCCAUACCGCGUGGGUGAAGAAGGCCUUCGGGUUGUAAAGCCCUUUUGUUGGGAAAGAAAAGCAGCAGGUUAAUACCCCGCUGUUCUGACGGUACCCAAAGAAUAAGCACCGGCUAACUUCGUG
rnacentral:rRNA from 1 species